UACAGAGGGUGCAAGCGUUAAUCGGAAUUACUGGGCGUAAAGGGUGCGUAGGUGGUUUGAUAAGUUAGGUGUGAAAGUCCCGGGCUUAACCUGGGGAUUGCGCCUGAUACUGUCAGACUAGAGUACUGUAGAGGAAAGUGGAAUUCCCAGUGUAGAGGUGAAAUUCGUAGAUAUUGGGAAGAACACCAGUGGCGAAGGCGGCUAUCUGGCCCGUUAUUGACGCUGAGGCGCGAAAGCGUGGGGAGCAAACAGG
rnacentral:rRNA from 1 species